AAGAGUUAAGAACCUGCCAGUGAUGCUUGAGCCUGAGAUUGAGAAAGUUGAAAAAUCUGCUUGAGCAGGUCACUGACACUGAGUGAUGUGUGACUUAUGCCACAACACAGCAAAAUCUCCAAAUGUGAAAUAUGCCCCCUCUCUAUGUGUUACUGAGCAGGCACCAAUCAAUCCAAGGGCAUAACACAGUCUGAGCAGAAUGGUAUUCUGUUAGAAUAUUUGGUUUACUAAGCUUACGAAGCUAUUGGUUUAUUCAGCUGCUUUUUAUUGGAUGUUAAAUUUCUAUUUGCAUUAAAGCGUUACAAUCAGGCAUUUUCUGUUUAUUUUGAAUGCCUCUUUGUGUCUUUUUGUAUGACCAGACAAAACACCAAUAACUAGCUUUGGGUUAUACUAGCACAGCACAUGUUAAUAUGCUGCUUAUGAGGCUUAGACCUAAUACAUUCAGCCAGCUCUAAAACAGAACACACAAGAAUAAUUCUGUUUAUAACAUAGUAAGCAUGGUGUGAUUUGCUACAUUUAUAUGGUAUUAAAUUCAAGAAAAUGUGAAAGUAAUCCAAGUAUUCUGAUUACAAUACUCAGAUUGAGUAAUGUAACAGAUUACAGUACAGAUUACUUUUUUGGGCAUGUACUCUGUAAUCUUUAAUGGAAUACAUUUCAAAAGUAACCCUCUCAACACUGGUUAUGACGUCAUCAGAAAGUCUCA